rnacentral:snoRNA from 10 species
ACGAUUGGGUUUUCAUGGUCAGGUGUGAGCUGUACUUUCCUCUAAACCUUGUUACAAUGACGCUGGCACAUUAUCUGUCUAAUG